UGAUGACGUGUAUGGUCUUUGACAGAUGG
rnacentral:piRNA from 1 species